rnacentral:rRNA from 1 species
UACGUAGGGUGCAAGCGUUAAUCGGAAUUACUGGGCGUAAAGCGUGCGCAGGCGGUCGCGUAAGCCAGAUGUGAAAUCCCCGGGCUCAACUUGGGAACUGCAUUUGGUACUGCGUGGCUGGAGUGCGGCAGAGGAAGGUGGAAGUCCUGGUGUAGCAGUGAAAUGCGUAGAGAUCAGGAGGAACACCGAUGGCGAAGGCAGCCUUCUGGGCCAGCACUGACGCUCAUGCACGAAAGCGUGGGGAGCAAACAGG